UACAGAGGGUGCGAGCGUUAAUCGGAAUUACUGGGCGUAAAGCGUGCGUAGACGGUUAUUUAAGUCGGAUGUGAAAGCCCCGGGCUCAACCUGGGAAUUGCAUUCGAGACUGAAUAGCUAGGGUGCGGUAGAGGGAAGCGGAAUUUCCGGUGUAGCGGUGAAAUGCGUAGAGAUAUGGAGGAACACCAGUGGCGAAGGCGACUUUCUGGUCUGUAACUGACACUGAGGCGCGAAAGCGUGGGGAGCAAACAGG
rnacentral:rRNA from 1 species